GGAGAGGUGGCCGAGUGGCUGAAGGCGCUCCCCUGCUAAGGGAGUAUGGGCGUUAAAACCCAUCGAGGGUUCGAAUCCCUCCCUCUCCGCCA
rnacentral:tRNA from 1 species